CAGCAGAUGUUGCUCGGUGUAAGAUGGAGCUCAGAAAAGAUGAUGCUCACAGCAAGAUUGAGCUCAGAGUGAUUGGCACACCAAACAUUGCUCUGAGCCAUUGGAAUUAGGAGUAGAUCAUGCUUAGAGCAAGAUGGUGCUGAGAGUGAUUGGAGCUCUGAGCAAGCUGGAGCUUGGAGAAGAUGGAGCUCAGAAAAAGUGAUGCUUAGAGUAAAAGAUGGAGCUCCGAGCAGAUGAUGCUCAGAGCAAAAUGGAGCUCAGAGUGAUUGGAGCUCCAAGCCAGCUGGAGCUCAGAGCAGAUGGACUUGGAAAAGGGACACAUCAUUUAUGGUAUAUUUCAUUCAUUCAUGGUGAACUUUUUAAACAGCACAGACAUUAUUUAGACAUCAUUUGGGAAAAAAAAACACUCAGCAUUUAUCUUUUGCAGUCUUACAGAAGGAAAUUCUAGCAGAUUUUAGUACCAAACUUCCAGUGAAGGAACAGACCAGAUGUUUAUUGGCCACAUAUUCUAUGAUGCCAGUCCUAGAAUCACCUUGCAAUGGAAAGUUUAAUGACAGUUUAGGUCUCAACAGAAUACAUAAUCCAAGAGAAGACUUAAGGAUUCCUACGUCAAGCUGAUUGUCUUCAAAUAUCAGAAUGGAGAACUACUUGUCAAAGGACAACCAAGUCCCUAUAUGUCUCCUCUGGACAGCACGGGUGAAAUCUUCUAAGAGACAACAAUCGUCAAAACCUCCUCACCAUGACAGCAAGCAAGGAGGAGGGACCCUGAAGACCCUCGAUGCUCUUUUCUGCAGGAAGUAGCUACAGAGAAUGAUGUCUGCCCCAUCUCCCAAAAGAUUUCUCAGUCCCAGCCACUUGAGGGAGAAUGUAAGAGGAGUGGACAGUCAGAUAUGAGCAGGCGCAAGAGGGAGGUAUCCAUGUUGGAAAGAACCCCCCAGAACACCUAUUUGGAUGCUCUGUACUCCAUCUUCAAACUGUCAGAAUGUUGUUAACUAGAUCAUGAUAAGGAAAAAAGGCAAAGGGGUAUUCCUGAGAGAUGAGCAGACAUAACGAGUACAAAAUUGACUGCUAUACCUUCCCAGGGUGGUGGCAAUAUACAGUGCCACCAUUAGGUAGGAUUCAUGUUGAUUAAUGCUUCCCAUGCAUGUGCAUUAAGCACAGUAAGGGAGGAUCCCCCGAACUUUGGUGAGAACUGGGCAAAGAAAUAACUGAGGCAAUCGAAUAUAACAAUGCAGAAUGUCAUGGGGAUGUUUCCAGCAGGGUCAGCCCCCUCCUCUCUUGGAGUGUAUUUGUACUUUCCCAAUAAAACUUUUCUUUAUUUAUAAAU